GUGGGGAAUAUUGGACAAUGGGCGAAAGCCUGAUCCAGCCAUGCCGCGUGAGUGAUGAAGGCCUUAGGGUUGUAAAGCUCUUUCAGUAGGGAAGAUAAUGACGGUACCUACAGAAGAAGCCCCGGCUAACUUCGUGCCAGCAGCCGCGGUAAUACGAAGGGGGCUAGCGUUGUUCGGAUUUACUGGGCGUAAAGCGCACGUAGGCGGAUUGGUCAGUUAGAGGUGAAAUCCUGGAGCUCAACUCCAGAACUGCCUUUAAUACUGCCAGUCUAGAGUCCAGAAGAGGUGAGUGGAACUCCUAGUGUAGAGGUGGAAUUCGUAGAUAUUAGGAAGAACACCAGUGGCGAAGGCGGCUUACUGGUCCGGAACUGACGCUGAGGUGCGAAAGCGUGGGGAGCAAACAGGAUUAGAAACCCCUGUAGUCC
rnacentral:rRNA from 1 species